CCCCCCGUUUUUACAUGAGCCUGCCACAUAUAUAUAUGUGUACAUAUGUAUAGAUAUAAAAAUAUAUAUGUACACGCGCACAUAUAUUAAUGUAUGUGUGUGUGUGUUUCUCUUCUUCUGGGGAAAUCGUUUUGCAGAUUCCUCCCCCCCCACUCCAGAUAACUGUAUUUAGUGGGCGGCAGAUUGGAAUGAUAUCACAGGGAUUUUAGCAUUUUAUCUUUUUUUUUUUUAAUUCUUUUUUUUUUUUGGUCAUGGUGCUGUCAGGAUAUUCAUCCCUCUGAUUCGACUUCUCAGCGCUCCACACACCGUCAGAACUGGGUCAGCUGGGUCUGCGUCUCUGUGCUGGGUCAGCGUCUCUGUGCUGGGUCAGCGGCUCAGCCAUGCUGGGUUAACGUCGCUGGGUGCUGGGUCCUUAUCUCAGCUUUGGCCGGUGUCUCAGUUCUGGGGAUCAUGUGAAUUGAAUUGUGGCCUGUAUGUAAAUGCAUAGGGUAUCUGGGGUUAAUAACGUCCAAUAGCGUGCUGGAUUCAGACCUUAGACUGGUUGAACUCCUCCCACUGCUCAUUUCAGCCUGUGGUCUGACUGCUUUAGGUGAUCAGUGUGUGGCUGCGUGUGAGGCAGGUAAUCAGAGGGCCAGCAAGGUUGUGUAUUCCUCUCCGUCGCUGUCCUGCUGUCUCUGUGCCAGUGUAAUAAUAUCAUAAUGCAUAAUACGUGUAUGCAUUAAUAUUUUUCAUCUUCUGUGUGUACAUAUGUUUAUAUAAAAUGGAUAACGGACGUGUGUUUCGGUGUUGUCUAUGCAUGUAUACGUCAGCGGGAAGCAGCAUUACGCUACGGUGAUAAAGUUUAUUUUCUGAGGCCCGUCGUCGUGGUGACGCUCAUCGGUCGAGCUGACGCUGCCGAAUGCGCCUGCAGUGGGUCUGUGGAGUCGGCCUGUAGCGUCCGAGCGCCCGCGACUCGCCGGGUCUGAACCGCACCGCGCCGAUGGCCGGGCAGCGGGAAUGCUUUUGCGUUUGCGUGCAAACGCUUUCGGCGACGCCCGCCGUUGAAGUUUUUACGCGCCCAAUUGCGUGUUCUGAGAAACGGCGUCCGUGCGAUAGCUUACGGAAAGCGGUGUCGGUCGGACGCGUGCUUUUGAAGUUGGCGUUUGGGUAUGGAGGCUCUCUGUUCUUAGAGGGCUUUGCGUGACUGGCCCGGUGUCGGAACUCGGAGGGAGAGGCUGCACUUCCGACACCCGUCUUCCAAAAGCCUUGUCCCGUCGUGUGCCGUCUCCUCAGCCCUCACUUUUUUCGUUUUCAUCCGUUUGAUGCCUUGCAGUUUUGGCAAGCAAGCCAGCUUUUGAGGUGAAACUAAUGGCGAGCAAGUUGCCCAAGGAAAAUUGUUGCUGCUAGAUUUGUGAACUACCUCUGAUUAUCAAUAGCAUGAAGAUGCUACGUAGCAACAGCUCUGCUGUGGAGAUUCUGUUUGGCCGGCUGGUCUGAUGUUUCCCUCUGAGCUCUGAAAGGUGACUGUAAGGCAUCGUGAUUGAUGUGCUCAGAGCUCUGAAAGUUGACGGUAGGGCAUCGUGAUUGAUGUGCUCUGAAAGGUGACGGUAGGGCAUCGUGAUUGAUGUGCUCUGAAAGGUGACUGUUGGGCAACGUGAUUGAUGUGCUCAGAGCUCUGAAAGGUGACUGUAGGGCAACGUGAUUGAUGUGCUCAGAGCUCUGAAUGGUGACUGUAGCGCAUUGUGAUUGAUGUGCUCAGAGCUCUGAAUGGUGACUGUAGCGCAUUGUGAAUGAUGUGCUCAGAGCUCUGAAAGGUCACUGUAGCGCAUUGAUUGAUGUGCUCAGAGCUCUGAAAGGUGACUGUAGCGCAUUGUGAUUGAUGUGCUCAGAGCUCUGAAAGGUGACUGUAGCGCAUUGUGAUUGAUGUGCUCAGAGCUCUGAAAGGUGACUGUAGCGCAUUGUGAUUGAUGUGCUCAGAGCUCUGAAAGGUGAGGGUAGAGCAUUGUGAUUGAUGUGCUCAGAGCUCUGAAAGGUGACCGCAGAGCAUUGUGAUUGAUGUGCUCUGUAAGGUGACUGUAGGGCAUCCUGAUUGACGUGGCUGAAGAGUCCGUGCAGUCUCUCCCCAGACUGUGUGCGGUUUUCACGGACAGAACACAGAUUGAACACAUGGUCCUACGAUCGCAGAACCUGGAAGGCGCUGUCAUAGCAACUGGCACCGGGACGGCGCUGUCAUGGCAACCGCACAGGAAUUUGGUCGUCAUGGCGACGGUACCAGGACACCGCUGUCAUGCCGACCCCGCCGGGGCGGCGCCGCCAUGGCGACAGGAGCUCGCGCUUUGCCCGCUGUGCAGACAGCGCUGUCGCGUGUAGCACUUGGACAGAACUCAUACAGGUGCUGACCGACAGGCUUACGCCGCUCGUGCGCUAACUCCGCCGUUCUCCGCGCGGCAUUUGGACAGCGCAACACGAGCGCUACGGCGUGUAGCAGCGGGAUGGCGGCUUCCGCGUGCCGCAGCGACUCCCAGCCUGGGCAUCGAACCGGUGCCCGCAUCACUAACACCAGUUCCUUAAAGGCUAAAGCUAUUACUGUAUCUGUCUUGUGUUGCUUUUAAUGUGCGCUUUUAUGUUUUUAUACUUUUUUAUUAUUCAUCUUGUCUUGAAGUUUUGCAAAUUAACUAAAGUUAAACAAGUUGCAAAUGAAAAUGUAAAAGGUUGAAAUGUAACUGAGGCACUCCCUGUACUGUAUCAGUUACGCAUCUUUAAAUAUCUGGAUGACUAGAAUUUCAGUUGAUAAUGUAAGAUCUAAAGGACCCAGGAUCUUGUACCACUAACUGCCACAAGGUGGGGCAGUUAUUCGCACCACAGUUUACCAGGUUGACAUUUCACAUGUGAACUGAUUUGAGGAAAUUUUAAAUAAAUUUUACUUUUUUGUAAAAUA